rnacentral:rRNA from 1 species
GUGCAGCAGUCGAGAAAACUUCACACUGUGCGAAAGCACGAUGAGGGAAUCCCAAGUGCUUGCACGUAAGUGUAAGCUGUUUCUCUGUCUAAAACGCAGAGAGAGUAAGGGCUGGGUAAGACGGGUGCCAGCCGCCGCGGUAAUACCUGCAGCUCAAGUGGUGACCGUUAUUAUUGGGCCUAAAACGUCCGUAGCCGGUUUAAUAAAUGCCUGGGUAAAUUGUGUAGCUUAACUAUACGAAUUCCGGGUAGACUGUCAAACCUGAGACCGGGAGAAGUUAGAGGUACUCCUGGGGUAGAGGUGAAAUUCUGUAAUCCUAGGGGGACCACCAGUGGCGAAGGCGUCUAACUAGAACGGGUCUGACGGUGAGGGACGAAGCCCUGGGGCGCAAACGGGAUUAGA